AUUGAACGCUGGCGGCAGGCCUAACACAUGCAAGUCGAACGAGUGGCGGACGUGUGGGUAAUGUCUGGGAAACGGCGUGAGGGAGGGGGAUAACUAAUGGAAACGGUAGCUAAUACCGCAUACCAUCAGAUGUGCCGAGAUGGGAUUAGCUAGGUGGUGGGGUAACGGCUUACCAAGGCGACGAUCCGUAGCUGGUCUGAGAGGAUGACCAGCCACACUGGAACUGAGACACGGUCCAGACUCCUACGGGAGGCAGCAGUGGGGAAUAUUGGACAAUGGGCGAAAGCCUGAUGCAGCCAUGCCGCGUGUAUGAAGAAGGCCUUCGGGUUGUAAAGUACUUUAAGCGGGGAGGCGUUACCCGCAGAAGAAGCACCGGCUAACUCCGUGCCAGCAGCCGCGGUAAUAC
rnacentral:rRNA from 1 species